ensembl:lncRNA
GUGGCUGUGGCAUAGGCUGGCAGCUAUAGUUCCUAUUAGACCCCUAGCCUGGGAACCUCCAUAUGUUGCAGGUGCAGCCCUAAAAAAGACAAAAAUGAAUAAAUAACCAAAAAAAAAAAAGAAACCCAAACCCAUAAAACAUCUAGAAGAAAACAAAACAAAACAGAAAAAGACUUUUGAUCCUGUGUUAGGCAAAGUCUUCCUAGGAGACAAAAAAAUAACCACUAUUAACAAUUAAAAACAUUGAAACAUUAAAAAAUUAAAUCUCUAAUUUUUAAGGACUAUUUAUCAAAAGAUACUUUCAGGAAAAUGAAAAGAGAAGUCAGAGACUGGGAAAUACUAGUUGCAAAAUACCUUAGGAUAAAGAACUUAUAUCCAGAACCCAUAAGGAACUCUUACUCUUCCAUGAAACAAUAAACAGUCCAAUUAAAAAAAUGGAGUUCCUGUCAUGGCGCAGUGGUUAAUGAAUCCAACUAGGAACCAUGAGGUUGUGGGUUCGAUAUCUAGCCUUGUUCAGUGGGUUAAGGAUCCAGUGUUGCCAUGAGCUGUGGUGUAUGUAAGUCGCAGACGCAGCUCAGAUCCCGCAUUGCUGUGGCUGCCGCGUAGGCCGGCACCUACAGCUCUGAUCAGACCCCUAGCCUGGGAACCUCCAUAGGCCGCAGGAGUGGCCCUAGAAAAGGGAAAAAGACAAAGAAAAAAAAAAAAAAAAAAGGCUAGGAGUUCCUGUCAUGGCUCAGUGGUUAACAACUAGUAUCCAUGAGGACAUGGGUUAGAUACCUGGCCUUGCUCAGUGGGUUAAGGAUCAGGCAUUGCUGUGAGCUGUGGUGUAGGUCAUAGAUGCAGCUUGGAUCUGGCGUUGGUGUGGUGUGGUGUAGGCUGGCAGCUACAGCUCCAAUUCAACCCCUAGCCUGGAACCUCCAUAUGCCAUGGGUACAGCCCUUAAAAGACAAUAAUAAUAAUAAUUUCAGUAUUUUGGGAAAAAUGGCAAAUAAGCAUAAGAAAAGAUGCUCAGCAUUUUCAGUCAUUGGGGAAAUACAAAUUUAAACCAUAAAUUACCACUACACACCCAGUAAGUGGCUAAAACUUUAAAAGACUAAAUACUAAGUGGUGGUCAGGAUGAGUAACAAUGGAAAAAUCUCAUACUUUACUGGUGAAACUGCAAAAUGGUAAAGCCAUUUGGAAACACGUUAAGCAAUUUCCUAUAAACGUACUCUUAUUGUAAGACAGAGAAAUCCUGCUUUUAGGUAUUUACCCAAGAAAAAUAAAACCUAUGUCCACACAAACACCUGAAAUGUGAAUAUUCAUAGCACCUUAAUUCAUAAUAGCCCAACUGGAAACAAUCCAAUGUCCAACAACUGGUGGAUGCAUAACCAAACUGUGGUACAUCCAUACAAUGGAAUAUCACUAGGUAAUAAAAGAAACAAACUAAUGAUACAUGCAACAACAUGGGUGAAUCACAAAGGACUGCAUUAGGUAGAAAAAGGCAGAUACAAAAGAAUACAUGAGGUAUGAUUCACUCAUAUGACAUUCUGACAAAAACAAAAUCACAGGCACAGCAAACAGAUGAGUGGUUGCCAGGAACAUGGAAUGGAGAGUAUGAAGAAAAGAGACUUGACAAUAAAGGAGCUUGAGGGAACUUUUAUGGGAGAUGGAAAAGUUGUGUAUCUUGAUGUGGUGGUAAACAUUUGUCAAAACUCUCACAGAACUCUAUACUUAUAAAGAGUGAAUUCAGGGAGUUCCCGUCGUGGCGCAGUGGUUAACGAAUCCGACUAGGAACCAUGAGGUUGCGGGUUUGGUCCCUGCCCUUGCUCAGUGGGUUAACGAUCCGGCAUUGCUGCGAGCUGUGGUGUAGGUUGCAGACGCGGCUCGGAUCCCGCGUUGCUGUGGCUCUGGCGUAGGCCGGUGGCUACAGCUCCGAUUCAACCCCUAGCCUGGGAACCUGCAUAUGCCGCGGGAGCGGCCCAAGAAAUAGCAACAACAACAACAACAACAAAAAAAAAAAAAAGACAAAAAAAAAAAAAAAAAGAGUGAAUUCUAUUGUAUAUAAAUUAUAUUUCAAUAAAUCUGACUUUUAAACAUAAGCUAAUUUCAAAAUUAAAAGAAAACAGGAGUUAUCAUCAUCUUUCAAACAUAAACUAUUUCCUUUAAGCAUGGCCUCACACAGAAUGUAGAAAAAUAAGAUACAGAAUACUAUUGGGUGAGAUAAAUUGAAAGCGAUAAGAAAGAAAAGAUUAGCUCCUAUGUAAGUGAUUCCUACAACUUAGAUUUAAAAGACUGGAGAGGCUGGGGUUCCCAUUGUGGCUUGGUGAGUUAAGAACCCAAAAUAGUUUCCAUGGCCUCACUCAGUGGGUUAAGGAUCUGGCAUUGCCGCAAGCUGUGGUGUAGGUCACAGAGGCAGCUUGGAUCCAGUGUUGCCGUGGCGAAGGUGUAGGCCUCAGCUGCAGUUCUGAUUUGACCCCUAGCCUGGGAAUUUUCAUAUGCCAAAGUUGUAGCCAUAAAAAAAAAAAAA